UUCCAUCCGAUCAUAGUCAAGUUGGUAUGUUGUUUCAUCCGACUGGAGCUGAGUCAAUAUGUUGUUCCGUCUGACUGUAGUCGAUCGACAUAUUGUUCCAUCCAAUAGUAGUCGAGUCGGCAUGUUGUUCCACUCGAUCGUAGCUGAGUCGGUAUAUUAUUUCAUCCGAUCAAAAUCGAGUUGACAUGUUAUUCCAUCUGACC
rnacentral:lncRNA from 1 species